AGAAGAACAAGGAUAAGAGUAACUGCUUGUCCCUUGACGGUAUCUAACCAGAAAGCCACGGCUAACUACGUGCCAGCAGCCGCGGUAAUACGUAGGUGGCAAGCGUUGUCCGGAUUUAUUGGGCGUAAAGCGCGCGCAGGCGGUCUUUUAAGUCUGAUGUGAAAGCCCCCGGCUUAACCGGGGAGGGUCAUUGGAAACUGGAAGACUGGAGUGCAGAAGAGGAGAGUGGAAUUCCACGUGUAGCGGUGAAAUGCGUAGAUAUGUGGAGGAACACCAGUGGCGAAGGCGACUCUCUGGUCUGUAACUGACGCUGAGGCGCGAAAGCGUGGGGAGCAAACAGGAUUAGAUACCCUGGUAGUCCACGCCGUAAACGAUGAGU
rnacentral:rRNA from 1 species